rnacentral:rRNA from 1 species
AAUAAACGCUGGCGGCGUGCCUAACACAUGCAAGUCGAACGAGAAAGGCCGCAAGGCUGAGUACAGUGGCGCACGGGUGAGUAACACGUAGGAAUCUACCCCUUUGUGAAGGAUACCUUGGAGAAAUCCAGGCUAAUACUGCAUAAGCCCAGAAAUGGGGAAAGGUGGCCUCAAGCUACCGCGGAGGGAUGAGCCUGCGUCCUAUUAGUUAGUUGGCAGGGUAAAGGCCUACCAAGACUGAGAUGGGUAGCCGGCCUGAGAGGGUGUCCGGCCACACUGGAACUGAAACACGGUCCAGACUCCUACGGGAGGCAGCAGUGGGGAAUAUUGCACAAUGGGGGAAACCCUGACGCAGCAACGCCGCGUGAGUGAUGAAGGCCUUCGGGUUGUAAAGCUCUUUUAGUGGGGAAGAAGCCCUCCCUGGCUAAUAUCCAGGGGGUCUGACGGUACCCACAGAAAAAGUUCCGGCUAACUAC